rnacentral:rRNA from 1 species
AACGCUGGCGGCGUGCCUAAUACAUGCAAGUCGAACGGUCUUUCUAUGGAAGCUUGCUUCCACUGAGAAGAUAGUGGCGAACGGGUGAGUAACACGUGGGUAACCUGCCCAUAAGAGGGGGAUAACAUCCGGAAACGGGUGCUAAUACCGCAUAGUUUUCUUGAUCGCAUGAUCGGGAGAGGAAAGACGGCCUUUGUGCUGUCGCUUAUGGAUGGACCCGCGGCGUAUUAGUUAGUUGGUGAGGUAAUGGCUCACCAAGACGAUGAUACGUAGCCGACCUGAGAGGGUGAUCGGCCACAUUGGGACUGAGACACGGCCCAAACUCCUACGGGAGGCAGCAGUAGGGAAUCUUCCGCAAUGGACGAAAGUCUGACGGAGCAACGCCGCGUGAGUGAAAGAAGGUUUUCGGAUCGUAAAACUCUGUUGUCAGAGAAGAACAAGUUGGAGAGUAACUGCUCCAGCCUUGACGGUAUCUGACCAGAAAGCCACGGCUAACUACGUGCCAGCCGCGGC